rnacentral:rRNA from 1 species
GCGGUCUUUUAAGUCUUAAGUUAAAGCCUUCGGCCUAACCUGAGUUGUGCAUUGGAAACUGGGAGACUUGAGUGCAGAAGAGGAGAGUGGAACUCCAUGUGUAGCGGUGAAAUGCGUAGAUAUAUGGAAGAACACCAGUGGCGAAAGCGGCUCUCUGGUCUGUAACUGACGCUGAGGUUCGAAAGCGUGGGUAGCAAAC